rnacentral:lncRNA from 13 species
UAGAUCUCCUGACUUCAUGAUCUGCCUGCCUCAGCCUUCCAAAGUGCUGGGAUUACAGGUGUGAGCCACUGCUAAUGUCGCCCCGAUUUUUUUUUUGGCGGGGGGUGGGGGAGCUACACACUUUUAAACAACCAGAUUGCUAGAGAACUCUAUCACAAGAACAGCUAAAGGGGGAUGGUGCUAAACCAUUAGAAACCAUCCCCAUGAUCCAAUCCCCCAGGCCACACCUCCAGGAUUGGAGAUUGCUUUUCAACAUGAGAUUUGGAUGUGGACACAGAUCCAAACUACAUCACCUACCUCAAGUGUGAUUACUCUGAUGCAGAGGGCCCCCUGGCAGGGACCUGAGGCCUUCAGUCCAACAGCCAGCAAGGAGCCGAGUCCUGCCAGCAACUAUAGGAGUGACCUUGGAAGUGCAUCCUGUCAUGGUGAGCCUUGAGAUAAGACUGCAGCCCCAGCUGAUACCUUGAUUGCAGCCUGUGAAAGACCCUAAAUGUAUAGCUUGAUUGCAAUCUUAUGAGAGAAUCUGAAGCAGAAGACCCAGUUAGGUCAAGCCUAGCUCCUGACACACAGAAACUGUGAGGUUAUAAAUGUGUUGCUUAAGUCACCAAGGUUUAUUAGAAAAAAGUGGAAUUCAAGAUCAAAUGCAGUGAACAAAACGAAAAGGGGGCAUAAAUGGUUCCAUCCUUGUUGAAGUGAUGAAUCACAAACUUUUAUGUACUACAUUAUUAUAGCAGCUUAAUAUUUACAGCAAACUCUCAGAAACCCAAGAAGAUUUUGAUAGAAAAUCACUACCAUAAAGGGAGAUUAUAAUAUAUCUCUCUCAGAAUUUGAAUGAUCAAAUAGAUGAAAAAUAAGCUAGAGAAUAGAUGAUUGAAUACUGUGACAAGUUCAAUAUAUCAUCAUAUAUAUGUAUAUCUUUACACACAUUUUAAUUAACUAAUUAAUUAAUUAAUUUUUAUUUUUGAGAUGGAGGUUCACUCUUGUGGCCCAGGCUGGAGUGCAGUGGCACGAUCUCCGCUCACUACAACCUCUGCCUCCUGGGUUCAAGUGAUUCUCUUGCCUCAGCCUCCUGAGUAGCUGGGAUUACAAGCGUGUGCCACAACACCUGGCUAAUUUUGUACUUUUAGUAGACAUGGGGUUUCUCCAUGUUGAUAAGGCUCCUGACCUCAGGUGAUCUGUCCACCUCUGCCUCCCAAAGUGCUGGGAUUACAGGCAUGGGCCACUGUGCCUGGCCUCCACACACAUUUUAUAGUGUAAAUUAUUUGGUUUUCUAGCUCUUGGGAAAUCGGAAAAAAAUGUUUUAGUGUAAAUUAUGUUCUAAUGUCCAUCAGCUGUGUGCUGCUUCACAGAGGAAAACUUCAUGAAUUUAAAGAAGCAGAGAUUUGUAGAGGCUACACAUUCUCUCUUUUUUUAAAAAAAGACGGGGUUUCACCAUGUUGGUCAGGCUGGUCAUGAACUCCCGACCUCAGGUGAUCCACCCACCUUGGCCUCCAAAGUGCUUGGAUUACAGGCAUGAGCCAUCACGCCCGGCCUACACAUUCUCAUUAUAAGCCAGUAAAAUUUGAAAUGAAUAAUAAAAGAUGGUCAAAAUCUCUUUCCUAUUUAGAA